CUACGGGUGGCUCCAGUGGGGAAUAUUGGGCAAUGGGGGAAACCCUGACCCAGCAACGCCGCGUGAAGGAAGAAGGCUUUCGGGUUGUAAACUUCUUUGACCAGGGACGAAACAAAUGACGGUACCUGGAAAACAAGCCACGGCUAACUACGUGCCAGCAGCCGCGGUAAUACGUAGGUGGCAAGCGUUGUCCGGAUUUACUGGGUGUAAAGGGCGCGUAGGCGGGACUGCAAGUCAGAUGUGAAAUCUGGGGGCUUAACCCUCAAACUGCAUUUGAAACUGUGGUUCUUGAGUGAUGGAGAGGCAGGCGGAAUUCCUAGUGUAGCGGUGAAAUGCGUAGAUAUUAGGAGGAACACCAGUGGCGAAGGCGGCCUGCUGGACAUUAACUGACGCUGAGGCGCGAAAGCGUGGGGAGCAAACAGGAUUAGAUACCCUUGUAGUC
rnacentral:rRNA from 1 species